rnacentral:rRNA from 1 species
ACGGGUGAGUAACACGUAGGCAACCUGCCUGUAAGAUCGGGAUAACUAUCGGAAACGAUAGCUAAGACCGAAUAGCUAGCUUGGGCGCAUGCCCGGGUUAAGAAACACGGAGCAAUCUGUGGCUUACGGAUGGGCCUGCGGCGCAUUAGCUAGUUGGUAGGGUAACGGCCUACCAAGGCGACGAUGCGUAGCCGACCUGAGAGGGUGAACGGCCACACUGGGACUGAGACACGGCCCAGACUCCUACGGGAGGCAGCAGUAGGGAAUCUUCCGCAAUGGACGCAAGUCUGACGGAGCAACGCCGCGUGAGUGAUGAAGGUUCUCGGAUCGUAAAGCUCUGUUGCCAAAGACGAACAGCUAGGAGAGUAACUGCUCUUAGUGUGACGGUAUUUGAGAAGAAAGCCCCGGCUAACUACGUGCCAGCAGCCGCGGUAAUACGUAGGGGGCAAGCGUUGUCCGGAAUUAUUGGGCGUAAAGCGCGCGCAGGCGGUUAAUUAAGUCUGGUGUUUAAUCCCGGGGCUCAACCCCGGUUCGCAUCGGAAACUGGUUAACUUGAGUGUAGGAGGGGAAAGUGGAAUUCCACGUGUAG